rnacentral:rRNA from 1 species
CAGUAGCCGCGGGAAUACGUAGGUGGCAAGCGUUGUCCGGAAUUAUUGGGCGUAAAGGGCUCGCAGGCGGUUUCUUAAGUCUGAUGUGAAAGCCCCCGGCUCAACCGGGGAGGGUCAUUGGAAACUGGGAAACUUGAGUGCAGAAGAGGAGAGUGGAAUUCCACGUGUAGCGGUGAAAUGCGUAGAGAUGUGGAGGAACACCAGUGGCGAAGGCGACCCUCUGGUCUGUAAUUGACGCUGAGGAGCGAAAGCGUGGGGAGCGAACAGGAUUAGAUACCCCUGUAGUCCCUGUCUCUUAUAC